rnacentral:telomerase_RNA from 1 species
AAGCUACGGCAGUCUGUUGGGCAGGCCAGUAUACCCUUUCGUGGUUAGACGAGCAUGUCACGCAGGCAAACACCUCCAAUGGCCACAAGGAGUCAAUGGGCUUGCGGGGCACCAGCCCAGUCGGGUAGCACAUCCUAAGCUCUGUGCUCAGAGCUACUGAGGGAGAUGUUGCGUGUGCUCUACAACAGCAGCCAGCGCAUCGGGCCCCAGAAGAAGUCCUCGCAAAGCACAAUCACGCGCGCAGCGGUGGUGUGUAGCAGUACAUACAGCUUCUCAUCAUGCAAAGAAACAGCACAUCUCACUGACAUAAUGGCAAUGAAGAGCAGAUCCAAAAAUUAGCUUGCAGCUCGAGCGCGGAUGGAACCGCGCCCGGCCUCGCAAUUCACAGUGUGAAGCAGCUGAACCUAGACGCGCACCGGUGAGCGGUUUUUCGUUAGGCCAAAAACCGGUAAAAAGAUGCCUCAAUGUAGUUCGUCCGCGUGCUUCGUGGGAAGCAGUUGUGUCCAACUCAAGACACCUGCGUCUACGGCGGGCGGUCACGGAUGGAGACACAGGCAUGGCUGCAGUCACUGCUGCUUGGUGAGCCUAGCGCAAGCGCCGUGUGAGCCACAUCCCAUGAGCCCACUGCAGGUGCUGGCGGCGUUGGCGGGGCCAACACAAGUAGCGCGUUCAGCGGUGUGGUGUAUGGGUCUCUCAGCGGUCUUGCCCAUGCUGGCAGUGCCAGGGACAAGAAGCAGGCCGGUCGCGCGUCUCGGAGCUGGACUUCUGUGGCGUGUAUCGCACAUGUUGUGAGUGGUUGGU